AAAUGUAUUUAUUUAUUUUUUUAUUAAAUAACAGGAACAUUUGAAAAUGUGAUACAAUAAAAAGUGACACAUUCAAAGUACAAGGUUUUACUGGAAAAUAAAGUAAAAGAAGCACUACAGUCAGGCUCUAACAAACAAAUCAAACAGUUGUGGUAGAAAGGGAACUGGCAGUGUGUUUUUUCGUGAUGUGGAAAAGUGUGUUCCAACAAUUUUGACAAGAUCAUCAACAUCACUGGAUGAAAUGCAGCCAAAAACCCUAAAAAAUGAGUGAAAAAGCAGCCAGUGUCCAAAGAAAAACUUUUAAAGACAUUAAGAGAACCUAGAAAACUAUUACUCAUGAUCAUUUUUACAAAAAAUAACGAGAAAAUCUGGCUCCUUGGAAGCAAAGAUAUAAAGAAAUAAGCUGAAGAUUUUUCUGUAACCUACUAACUAUACUUGGACAUGAUAAAUAUUUGUCAGCAUGAACGUUGUUGAUAUUAACAUGGUAAUAAAUGGAUCACAGCAUGAUAGUAUUAGCAGUUAGCUUCCUCACAGACGUGCUUUCAUCACUGCAGACUUUUGGCGUCGGUCUCCUAAACACAGAUUGCACCAUGUCCUGGAAAAAAAAAGAAAAACAAAAAGAAAGAAGAUUCUUGGACGAAGAGUAACAUGUCUAGGAAAGUGGGCCCUUCUCUUGCUAACAAGGAAAUCUCUAGAAGACAAAAUGAUGUGUGAAAUUAGGUGAGGUGGCUUUGCUUUCAGCUAAACAUCCCACUCAUUUAGCCAUUUCUUUAUUUCCUCCACAGCGUCCUACUUCACUGUACAUUAUAUGGAAGUUAUUUAGCUCAGUGUUUGGUGAACCGUGUAACCUUGUUAAUUGUGUACGGCUCUACAGCCUCGCAGCUUUUCCACAGAGCCUACUUCAAGUGAGUCACGUGAAGAAGACUUAAGAGCGCUGAAGCAAAAGACAUGUUACAGCUCUACAGUUCUACGAUGAGGAGAUAAAGCGGGGGUGUAGUCAUCAGAGGCCAAAAUAGGUCAGCCUGGAAGGCCUUGCUAUCACAGACGCUUGGCAGCUGAGGGGUAGUCCACGCAGAACAAAUGCACCCCCUGGCUGUUUCACUUCAUUCGCCACAUAAUGAGCCAGACGGAACACGCACAGAUCGCCGCCGUCACUUCCACUCUCCCCGCGACCGAGGCAGGGGCCACACGUUGCCAUGGAGAUGUGGCCGCGGGGCACAGGGGCCCGGGCGAUGUGACGCUAAGUCCCUCAGUCGAACUGACCUCUCCGCCUCGAUCUGUGUCUCAUCCGGUCUUCCUUCAUAUCGCCAUCCCGUACUUUUGAUGCUCCACCCUCCAUCCUGUCCUUCUUUCUGUCUUUCAUUCAGCACCAUAAGGCACAAGGGAGAUGAGUAGAUGAAUGUGGAGUCCAGUGUCCUACACUCGUCUUCUGUGCACCGUCCCUCUGAUGUAAUGGAGUCGGUGCGGGUAUCCCUCACUCACCCAUCUUCCCCUGCAAAUAUAUUCCGGACCAGUGAACCACUGAAUGCUGAGCUCCAAUAGCUGCAGCUGCAGAAGUGGCACUCUUCAUAGACAGGCAACACUAUGUGAGCAAAUACUGAAGUAAAAGUACAUUCAUCAUAUAUUUGGGAAAGCUUAGUGCUUCCUCUCUAUCUGCACUGCACUCAGUACAAAUUUAUGGACUGUCAGGUUUUUAUUUGAGGAGAGGAUUUAUUGGUGCACAGUGGUAAAGCUUUUAUUGCAUUAUAGAAAAAAUAACCAGCUCUUCCUCUCAAUUUGAUUAUGUGCAUCCCCACCUAAUCAAGCCAAAGCAUGUAUGUCUGGAUGAUGGGAUAACGGUGAUGGGGUUUGGCUAGAUGCCACAAAAAGAAGAAAAGAUUUCUAGUGCAGUGGAGGUGUGAGCUGUUCUACCAUAUUAGGAUUUUUCCUUCUGGGACUAUGACAUUGUGAGGAUAUUUAUAUGGCAAACAUAUUCAAACAUUUGAGCAAAUUCUUUUAAAAAUGCAGGACAUUUUGUACAGCAAUCUACUGUUAUUUGUAAGCAUAGAUGCAGAAUAAAAAUGCUGGUCCCCCUA